rnacentral:rRNA from 1 species
CACGCCGUAAACGUUGAGAACUAAGUGUUGGGGAGACCCAGUGCUGAAGCUAACGCAUUAAGUUCUCCGCCUGAGGAGUACGCACGCAAGUGUAAAACUUAAAGGAAUUGACGGGGACCCGCACAAGCAGCGGAGCAUGUGGUUUAAUUCGAAGCAACGCGAAGAACCUUACCAGGGCUUGACAUACUUUUGCAGGGUCUAGAGAUAGACCUGUUCUCUUUUGAGACGAAAGUACAGGUGG